rnacentral:lncRNA from 1 species
GAGAUGUUGUCUUCGGGCCAGAUCUUCUUGUCCUCGGAACCAUUGACGCUCAUUAGAAACAUGUGGAUGUGAUGGAGCCAGGGCUACAUCAUCCGUGACUUCGCAGGCUGCCCUGGGCUCUUGGACCUGGCCCAGGCUGUGCAGGCCAUGGCCCGGGCAGUCCCUUCUUAUGGCUUCAGAAACUUCACCUGCAGGUGGCGCUCUCACCUGGGUGAGAAACUAGCCUGUGGGACCCAUACUCAAGACAAGCAGCUCUGAGAAACCGCCAAGCACAAGCUCUUCACAUCAGGAAGACAGCAGAUAGCCCACUGGUCCCCUUUCCUCCUUAUGGGGAGCAGAUUCUGUAUCCCCAGGAGAGGAAGCUUUCGUUUGGCCAGUUACUUCAGUUUUGUUUAAAAUAAUUUAUUUACGAGCCUUACAAAAAUACAUUGGCAAGAGAAAAAAAAUAAAAGUCCUCUAGGAACAGGC